rfam:Ixodes scapularis strain Wikel colony gcontig_1108379866554, whole genome shotgun sequence.
UUCUGGGAGGAUUGACAGAUUGAGAGGUCUUUCUUCAUUUGGUGGAUGGUGGUGCAUGUCCGUCCUUAGUUGGUGGAGCGAUUUGUCUGGUUAAUUCCGAUAACGAACGAGACUUUAGCCUGUUAAAUAGCUGCGUGGUUCUCUGCACCUUGCACCCUUCUUAGAGGGACAAGCGGCUCCUUGCCGCACGAAACAGAGCAAUAACAGGUCUGUGAUGUCCUUAGAU